GCAUCUUUAGCUCAGUGGUAGUAGCAUCUCACUUGUAAUGAGAAGGUCGAAGGUUCGAGUCCUUCAAGGUGCA